rnacentral:lncRNA from 1 species
UAAGAAGUCUACAACAAAAGUUUUUUCACACGGCAUAUUUACUUAUUUACAUUUGCCUUUUAGGAAACAAAAAAAGUGAAAUGCUAAAUAUCCUACAGAUAAACAGCCUUCAAAAAGGACUUGGCAAAAAUGAAGGGGCUAGGGUCAGAUCUGACGUAGUAAACCUGAAUGAGGAAUCCAUCACCAUAUGGCAGAAGUGUGAAGCUUCCCAAGCACUUCACUAAGUUUUCUACCUUCAGGAAAGUAUUAAUCAGAAGAGAAAUAUGAAUCAAAUAGAAGGGAGUCCUUUUAAUCACCUAGUGAGGGAUCCCUACAAACUUGAACAAGCACCCUCAGCAAAAAGUAAUAUCACAUCCAUCCACCAACCACCGAGCACAGCUGAAAUAAGAUAUGAUUAGUAUAGAGAGUGGUUUAUACAUAGGAACAAGCUAAGGAAGUACUUACUUUUGAAAUCUUUUUUAAAAAUCAUGAAAGAAUUGAUGGGCAAAGUGUUGAUAAUCCAAAGGAGAAGGAGGACCAACUAGAAGUUGAGCUACAGUGAAAAGAUCGGGAAGGUGUUACAAG